rnacentral:misc_RNA from 1 species
GGUUCCGUACUUUUUCAACAUAGUUUAUUGAAAGGUGAUAAUGAAAAGUUGGUGACGAGGGCAUCGGCAUCAUGCAGCAGAAUCAUGUGUCGGAACAGGGCGGCGUGUUUGGACGGGACGCGCUAGUGGCCGUGUCCUGCGACGCCCGUCCAGACGCUCUUUCGUCCUGUGCAGCCCGCAUCGCGACGCAUCUGCUGCAGCGCCGCCGUCGCGCCGCAGGUUCAGGCGUCCGCCGACAGAUGGGCUACGCAGAUCGGCUUCAGUACAGCUUAAACUCCACAGCCGUUAACAUCGAUCGCCCUCGGACUGUCUGUCUGGUGCUACUCUGGUACUCUCCCGGCAACGCGCGGAUUCCCCUCCCGAGUGCAUUUCCAGUGAAAAUUUUUGAGUGAGUGAUUUUGAAUUCAGCACCGACCCAGAUCGAUUCGAUUGGCUCGACGUCGGCAGUGAAUCGUGAAUUGAUAUGAUGUGAGUGAGCAGGAAUGUCAGUUUCGGAAAAAGUUUCCCCGCACCAUUUGGAAGAUGAGGAAUCACCUCCCAGGGGCGAGACUGAUUUUGUUGUUGAUCCGGUACCUGGAUGUGAGAAUUCGACGUUCUACGGGGCCGUAGUAAAGUCGUCGCAUUAGUCCGAACCCAAUUCGCGCCACCAGACAUGUGUAGAAUAUCGUACGAAAAAUGUAUAUGUUUUGUAUUUCUAAUAGUAAUUUUAGUCGUUUUGAUUUGCUCUGGUUUCCCCACAGAUAACUUAGUCACGCCGAACAGUAGCAAAAAGUAUUUCCGUACCUCAAUGGCAUCGUCCUCCCAUUUUUUAAGUCGAGUUUCUAACGUUAACCCUGAUGGUUCCGUACCGGCUCGGGCGCGGCAUCACAGACAGUUGAGGGCUGCAAAACGCGACUCCCGAACUUCCAAAACGCCGACGGGCCACAUCGAGGCCACCGUUUACCAAAACGACGCGAACCCGAGCGAACUCACCAAAACACUCAACACUCGAUCGCAACGAUCGUCCGGUCGAUCCCGGAACCGGCAAAAAACAGACUGUCAGCCCGAACACUUCUCCUCAAAAGCCUACAAAUCUCAAAUCGUCCUCACGGCCAAAGCGCAAGGGUUUGAGAAGAUUAAUCACAAGGUCAGCUUCAAGUUGGUCCAGCAGCUGAAGAACGUUUCCUCCAUUCCAAUACACGAGUGUCUAAAUCCUCAGUUCUCCAAUCGCACGGAAAGGUGCGACAGCGGCCAACGUGACAGGAAAAAUCUAGUCAGUGCCAAUAUUAGGGGCUCUCGGGAAUACAUCCUGUUCUUUAAUAUCUCCGGUGCCAAUGAAUGCACACCCGCAUUUUCCCCGGAGCUGCUCAGACGGAAGAAAAAGGAGAAAAUGUUGAAAACUCUAGAGAAAGUCACCCGUCACAACUUCAAAAUAAAGCCGCCGAAAAUCCAUAUCAAAUUCGGGAAGGUAACAGGGGUACGAAAAGUGAAGCUGAUCUGUAACUCGAAUGGACUGCCCGUUCCUCAGAUAUCCUGGAGGCGAGACAACGUUCCCAUAGUCAACAUGCCUGAUGUAACUAUCAAAUAUGUAAAGAAACGGAGUAUCCUGACGAUUAAGAACCAUUCGCAGGACCAUAUUGGCUGGUACGAAUGUGUCGCUCGAGGUGUCGAUGGAAAAGAAGUCGUCGAAAGGAUCGAGGUCAAGCAACAGCAGAUUCCUUUCAGUGAGCCAAUUUUAACUAAUAAAAAAUGUAACGGAACAUACGAAGAAGAGUUUUGCAUGCAUGGAACAUGCUAUAUGGACUAUAACAAUGAAUUUUUUUGCGAAUGUAUGAACGGAUACAUCGGCCAACGAUGCGCCGAAAAGGAUGCCCAACAUUCUGCGAGUAGGUAUCCACAAACACCAUCAUUCGCAUGUAAAUUAGGACUAUCGACGAAAUAUUAUUGCUAUUGAUGAGGAGAUCUAGAUUGAACAUAAAGACAUUUGAAAGACUCUGAUUCAGAACGUUAGACCAGCAAUACAGAGAAAUUAUUUACGG